UACGUAGGGGGCUAGCGUUGUCCGGAAUCAUUGGGUGUAAAGCGCGUGUAGGCGGUCCGGUAAGUCCGCUGUGAAAGUCGAGGGCUCAACCCUCGAAUGCCGGUGGAUACUGUCGGGCUUGAGUACGGGAGAGGCGAGUGGAAUUCCUGGUGUAGCGGUGAAAUGCGCAGAUAUCAGGAGGAACACCGAUUGCGAAGGCAGCUCGCUGGAACGUUACUGACGCUGAGACGCGAAAGCGUGGGGAGCAAACAGG
rnacentral:rRNA from 1 species